GUGGGGAAUCUUGCGCAAUGGGCGAAAGCCUGACGCAGCCAUGCCGCGUGGAUGAUGAAGGUCUUAGGAUUGUAAAAUCCUUUCACCGGUGAAGAUAAUGACUGUAGCCGGAGAAGAAGCCCCGGCUAACUUCGUGCCAGCAGCCGCGGUAAUACGAAGGGGGCUAGCGUUGCUCGGAUUUACUGGGCGUAAAGGGCGCGUAGGCGGACAUUUAAGUCAGGGGUGAAAUCCCGGGGCUCAACCUCGGAACUGCCUUUGAUACUGGGUGUCUUGAGUAUGAGAGAGGUGUGUGGAACUCCGAGUGUAGAGGUGAAAUUCGUAGAUAUUCGGAAGAACACCAGUGGCGAAGGCGACACACUGGCUCAUUACUGACGCUGAGGCGCGAAAGCGUGGGGAGCAAACAGGAUUAGAUACCCGUGAGUCC
rnacentral:rRNA from 1 species